rnacentral:rRNA from 1 species
GGAUUAGAUACCCUGGUAGUCCACGCCGUAAACGAUGAUCACUCGCUGUAUGCGAUACACAGUAUGCGGCCAAGCGAAAGCAUUAAGUGAUCCACCUGGGGAGUACGAUCGCAAGGUUGAAACUCAAAGGAAUUGACGGGGGCCCGCACAAGCGGAGGAACAUGUGGUUUAAUUCGAUGAUACGCGAGGAACCUUACCUGGGCUUAAAUGGGGAACGACAGCAGCCGAAAGGUUGCCUUCUUCGGACGUUCUUCAAGGUGCUGCAUGGUUGUCGUCAGCUCGUGCCG